rnacentral:tRNA from 1 species
GGAUGCGUAGCUCAGCGGGAGAGCACUGCCUUCACACGGCAGGGGUCGUAGGUUCAAUCCCUACCGCAUCCACCA